UACGUAGGGUGCGAGCGUUAAUCGGAAUUACUGGGCGUAAAGCGUGCGCAGGCGGUCCGCAAAGUCUGAUGUGAAAGCCCCGGGCUCAACCUGGGAACUGCAUUGGAAACUAACGGGCUCGAGUGUGGCAGAGGGGGGUGGAAUUCCACGUGUAGCAGUGAAAUGCGUAGAGAUGUGGAGGAACACCGAUGGCGAAGGCAGCCCCCUGGGCUAACACUGACGCUCAGGCACGAAAGCGUGGGGAGCAAACAGG
rnacentral:rRNA from 3 species